GUCCUGGGGGAGAUAAUUUAAAACCACCUACAUGAGAGGGCCUUCAGGAAUAAUUAAAUCAAGCACACACUGUGUGCACCUUUGGCUAUUUUAACCAAAUCUUGAGAGCAUCCUCUCUGACUGGGAAACACACUGCAGCCUACUCAUGAGAAUAUUAUUGUUUAAAUUUCAAUGCUACAGCAAUACUAUCUGGUAAGAUAAUUGUCUCCAGUGGGAUGAAAUAAGGCCAAGAAACCAAAGCUCUCCAGCCUCUUCUAAGUUUGCUUCUGAUGCCUGCCUCUCAUCCUCGCUUCUUCCAGCAGACCCCAAGCUGCCUCCAGCCUCCACUGUGCCAAUAUUCUUAGAGCAGUCUGGUUUGCUGGCAUGUUUUUGCCUCAGUAUUCCAUUUCUCACACCCUCUGAUGGCCAUUUUAUUUUAUUUUUAAGAGGGGAACUAAGAUAGGUGGCCUGAAGUACAGUAGUAACUUCCUUGAAUCACGCUGUCCUGGCUAAUGUCAAUGAGAUAACUAAGGCACAUCCACAGAUCACAUUCUGGGCCUUUAAAAGCACUGCAUACAAACUCAGUAUUUCGUUUAGACAGUUUUCUUAUCUUCUUCAACUGGACCUCUUUGCUGACUCAUGUCAGCUUUGAGCUCAUAUUAGUCUGUGAACUUUACCUGGCUGAAAUUCAGUUUGGCCUGACUUUGCCAUUCUUGAUUCCACUUUUGAUUCAGACUAAAAUAUAAGGUAAGGCUAUGUUCAAUACAAGAACCUUACAAUCUGAUGAACAUGGACUUACUCAAGGAAGAGAUUUAUCUGCCUCAUGUGAGAAGAAGUCUGGGUUGAAGUAGAUUAGGGCUGGAACAGUAGUUCAAGGAUGCUAUCUGGGAACUGAGCAUUUUUUCUUCCUGCUCUACUGCCCUGAGGAUGACUGAUGUACCUCCAGCAUCAAGCUCAAAUUCUAGUCAAGAAGAAAGAAGCAGCAGAAGAAGCCCAGCCAACUUGGGAUUGUUUCAUUCAUCAGAUCUACCAUUGUCUCUGCUAGCUGCAAAAAAGUCUGGGAAGGAAGAAGCAAAGAAGUCUAAGUUCUUUGGAGUAAGAUGCUCUCAAAUGCCUAGGAACACUGAUCUCCUAACUUGUCUUCCUGCUUUGAGUGUCCCUCUGAGGUUAAAGUUCCUGCCUCAGUCUCCAACAAUGGUCAUUUCCACUGCUGCCCACUGAGGAGUGCCACUGGAGAUGAUCUCACAACAAAGAGAGGGGGAGAGGCUGCUCCUCCCGUCAGAAGAUGGAGACUGCUUCCUUGCCCUUCAAUCCAAGCUGGCUCAUGACUUGCUUCAAUGAAUAGGAAAUGGCAGAAGUGAUGCUCUGAGGCUUCUGGGCCUAGACUUUAAGAGGUGUUGCCCCUUUCCUUUUUCCCUCUUGGGAUCCAGCCUACCACAUAGAGAAGUUUGGGUUGACAACUAAAUGUGAGAGAGAGACAGACAGAGAGAAGAGGGAGAGCUGAUUCAGCUAGACCUUAGUCAUUCCAGCCAUCCUAGCUGAAGCACUAGCAUGUGAAAGAAGCCACCUUCUAACCUAUCAAUCAGAGCCCCCAAUUUUACUGACCUCAGUCAACACCAUGUGGAACAGAACUACCCCAGGGAGCCCAACCAACCCAUACAAUCAUGAGAAAUUAAAAACUGAUGUUGUAGCCUCCUGAGUUUUAAGGUAGUUUGUUACACAAAAAUACUGGAAUUUUGACCCACCUUCACCUCCAAUGCCAACCUAGUAAACCUGGAUAUAUCUUUCAAAAUUUGGCUCAAGUGUCAACUCUUUCAUGAACCCUCUGUAUCCUUUUCUUGCUCAUUCAAGCCCUAUUUUCUCUUCUCCUCCCCAAAAUUCCAUAGUACUUUGUAUUACAAACUAUGUGCUUACAACCCCCAAAGUCUCUGGGCAUCCAGAAGGCAGAGAUUUGGCUUAAUUCAUUUUUGCCUCUGCCUAGCCUAACACCCGGCACAUUUAGAUAUUUAGUUAUUGUUUGCUGAAUGAAUGGAUGCAUGAAGAAGAAAAUUUAACAGAUGAUAUCUACAGGCACAUCUGGCUCCAAAAUUGAAUCAUGUCAUCUAGCAAUGCUCAGUAAAGUUAACAUAAGCAAUUUC
rnacentral:lncRNA from 10 species